rnacentral:rRNA from 1 species
CAGCCGCCGCGGUAAUCCGUAGGGUGCGAGCGUUAAUCGGAAUUACUGGGCGUAAAGCGUGCGCAGGCGGUUAUAUAAGACAGAUGUGAAGUCCCCGGGCUCAACCUGGGACCUGCAUUUGUGACUGUAUAGCUAGAGUACGGUAGAGGGGGAUGGAAUUCCGCGUGUAGCAGUGAAAUGCGUAGAUAUGCGGAGGAACACCGAUGGCGAAGGCAAUCCCCUGGACCUGUACUGACGCUCAUGCACGAAAGCGUGGGGAGCAAACAGGAUUAGAUACCCGCGUAGUCCCUGUCUCUUAUAC